rnacentral:rRNA from 1 species
UACGUAGGGUGCAAGCGUUGUCCGGAUUUAUUGGGCGUAAAGAGCUCGUAGGCGGUUUGUCGCGUCGGAUGUGAAAUCCCAGGGCUCAACCCUGGGCCUGCAUUCGAUACGGGCAGACUAGAGUAUGGCAGGGGAGACUGGAAUUCCUGGUGUAGCGGUGAAAUGCGCAGAUAUCAGGAGGAACACCGGUGGCGAAGGCGGGUCUCUGGGCCAAAACUGACGCUGAGGAGCGAAAGCGUGGGGAGCGAACAGG